rnacentral:rRNA from 1 species
AGAGUUUGAUCAUGGCUCAGGAUGAACGCUAGCUACAGGCUUAACACAUGCAAGUCGAGGGGCAGCAUUUUAGUUUGCUUGCAAACUAAAGAUGGCGACCGGCGCACGGGUGAGUAACACGUAUCCAACCUGCCGAUAACUCGGGGAUAGCCUUUCGAAAGAAAGAUUAAUAUCCGAUAGCAUAUUGAGAUCGCAUGAUUUUGAUAUUAAAGAAUUUCGGUAUCGAUGGGGAUGCGUUCCAUUAGUUGUUGGCGGGGUAACGGCCACCAAGACAACGAUGGAUAGGGGUUCUGAGAGGAAGGUCCCCCACAUUGGAACUGAGACACGGUCCAAACUCCUACGGGAGGCA